UUCCAUUAUGUUAAUUACUGCCU
rnacentral:siRNA from 1 species